GACGAACGCUGGCGGCGUGCCUAAUACAUGCAAGUCGAACGCAGUGGGGACGGGUGAGUAACACGUGGGUAACCUCCCAUCAGAGGGGAUAACACUUGGAAACAGGUGCUAAACCGAUACUGAUGGAUGGACCCGCGGUGCAGUAGCUAGUUGGUGGGGUAACGGCUCACCAAGGCCGCAAUGCAUAGCCGACCUGAGAGGGUGAGCGGCCACACUGGGACUGAGACAGGGCCCAGAAGCCUACGGGAGGCAGCAGUAGGGAAUCUUCGGCAAUGGACGAAAGUCUGACCGAGCGACGCAGCGUGAGUGAAGAAGGUUUUCGGAUCGUAAAACUGUAUUGUUAGAGAAGCGGUAUCUAACCAGAAAGCCGCGGGUAACUACGUGCCAGCAACCACGGUAAUAC
rnacentral:rRNA from 1 species